UCGAUUUGAGAUCUAAAUUUUAUUGUUAAAAAAGGCUAGCUGUUGUCAAAUAAAUUUUGUGAGCAGUUUUAAUACCGAGGGUGUGUCUUAUUUUGUGAGUUUUCAUUGGUUUGGAGUUUUUAGACCCUUCAUUGUUGACCAGUGGAAAACUUCCCGCCGAAGUGUUUCAAAUAGCACUUUGUCUUCAAACGAACAAGGUGGACACAUGCAGUUUACAGAAGCAAAAGAUUUGAUUUGAACUGUUCGUGAAACCACACAUACUCAAGAGAAUUUACAAGACUAUUAUCCACAAAAUGCAACAGUCUUAUUUUGAUGAAUUGUUGAACCAGAGAAAUGUGAAGACUUACAGACACCUAGACUGUAUAGUCAACAUAACAAUGAUUAGAGAAUCAGACUACAGUGAACAUUACAAUGAUAAGAAAAUCAGACUAGAGUCAACAUUACAAUGAUUAGAGAAUCAGACUAUAGUCAACAUUACAAUGAUUAGAAAAUCAGCCAGCUGCAUUUCAUCAAUCAGUCUAUGAUGAAGCUUUACAGCAUUGGAAAUGAUUACUCAGGGACCAAACAACUGAGCAGAAAGAAGAACCGUAUGACCUUGAAGAGUAAGCAAUGUAUUAAGUAUAUUUGGGGUUACCAAAGAGUAUGGUAAGAACCUCAUCUUAAAUUAUACUUGGUGAGUAUUCUUAUUGUUGGUUAAAUAUUAAGCAUCAUUAUGGAAAAUGGGGGAUCAAGGGUAUACACCAACAAGACAGUGACCAAAGGAAAAUAAAUAACCAAAACCAUCUAGAGGUUUCAACUAUAGUCUGAUGUUUAUACAGUACGUGAACUUGUAAAUCAUCCAAAGUCUAAAAUAUUUGUGAAUAAAAUGAACAGACUGACAAAUAACUUACAUACACACAAAUAUCUGACCUAAGCACAUGAGCAUGUUGCAGGGUGAAAUUUUUUUAUUAAAUAAAGCUUGAGCCUGUUUUGUGCAAUGCCUAACCAUUUAAUGACAAAAUUUCAUACAGAAAACUUUUCAAAUUGAGGGGUUUCAAAUUUUAAAUAAGCCAAUUUAUGGUUUAAAAAAAUAAUGGAAAUCUUGACUCCCCAACAAGAGAAAAAUGUCACUCUUAUCAUUGAGGAAAAUGGCCACUACCUGAAUGGUCUUUAGAAUUAAUUCAGUUGCUCUGGUCAUUUUUCAAAAUUUAACAAUGUAAGUAAAUAUGGAGUUGUUUGAUCAAUGGGAGAUAACUCUGACCACAUGGAAUAAUUCUGAAAACUUAGAGGGGUCCUGAUCCCGAAAUCCCGGGCUUAAAAACACAAAAUCCUGAGCUCCCGAAAUUUAAAUAAAUUUAGAUCCUGACAUCAAGAAAUUAAAAAUAAAAAAACUUUAUCCUGAAGGGGUCAAUCCCUAAAUCCUGUGCUUUAAAAUACCAGAUUCCUGAGUCCCAAUAUAGGUCCUAUCCCCCUCACAUAUAUAAUUGAUAACUAAGAUAAAAGAAAUACAGAAAUUGUUUUGCCUUUUGCCAUGCUUACAAUCAACAAAAGAUUUUUUUCUUCAUUUUUCAAAAUAAAUUCCAAGACUAAGAUGUAGGAUGCCAUUCUUCUAACAAAAUACCACAGCAUGGAGACCCUAAUCAGCACACUAAAAUGUCCAAACGUGUGUCCUACAUCUUGAAAUAAAUAUAAUUUUAUAAAUGUUCAAGUAUCUUCAAAAACAUUUUUUACUCAUUUCUACUCUGUUGAGACAAUUUCACUAGCACUGCACUUUGACUUUGACUAAGACAAACACAAUGUUGAUUGAAGUUGAAUGGUACUAGUGACAACUUUGUUGGAGACAUGGAAAGCAUUUCGUCAUUGUUAGUAGUUUUAUGGGCUUUCACCUCUUGAGUCACAAAGAACCUUAUGUACGUUAGUUCCAUUGAAAUGUUAUAUGCAUUGUCAAUGCUAAACAUUUGAUUGACUUUGACUGAUUUUUUUUUUAGUUUCGUCAGAGUGUAAAUGAGUUUGAACAAAAGGCAAUAUAACCUUUUUUUAGUGAUAAGAAGAUUUGACUUUCAUUUUUGAUAAAGUUUUCACCAAAUUUAUUGUUGAUAGCAAGGCUUAUGGUUUGCACAAUAGAAUAUGCCUUUUACACAAUGAGCUCAGUGGUGAAUCCAGGGGUGGGGGGGUCUGGAAUUUGGAACCCCCCUUUUUUUUGGCCCAUCAAUGCAUUUGAAUGGGAGCAUAUAGUUGGACCCCCCCUUUUAAUCUGGGUUGGGAACCCCCCUUUUUUGGGGCCUAUCAAUGCAUUUGAAUGGGAGCAUAUAGUUUGACUCCCCCACCCCUCCCCCCUUUACUCUGGGUUGACCCCCCUUUUUAAAAUGGCUGGAUCCUCCCCUGGAGCUUGUCACUUUCACUCAAAAAACAUUAAAGAAACCAUCAAAUUCCGAAGCUUAGGUAGG